rnacentral:tRNA from 1 species
GGGAUGGGAUGGUCGCCGGUGCGGCCCCAGGCCUUCAAAGCCUCGGUGAGGUGGCAACAUCUCAGGUGGGUUCGACUCCCACGCCUUCCCGCCA